GACGAACGCUGGCGGCGUGCUUAACACAUGCAAGUCGAACGGAAAGACCCUGCUUUUGUGGGGUGCUCGAGUGGCGAACGGGUGAGUAACUCGUGAGUAACCUGCCCUUGACUUUGGGAUAACUUCAGGAAACUGGGGCUAAUACCGGAUAGGAGCUCCUGCUGCAUGGUGGGGGUUGGAAAGUUUCGGCGGUUGGGGAUGGACUCGCGGCUUAUCAGCUUGUUGGUGGGGUAGUGGCUUACCAAGGCUUUGACGGGUAGCCGGCCUGAGAGGGUGACCGGCCACAUUGGGACUGAGAUACGGCCCAGACUCCUACGGGAGGCAGCAGUGGGGAAUAUUGCACAAUGGGCGGAAGCCUGAUGCAGCAACGCCGCGUGCGGGAUGACGGCCUUCGGGUUGUAAACCGCUUUCGCCUGUGACGAAGCGUGAGUGACGGUAAUGGGUAAAGAAGCACCGGCUAACUACGUG
rnacentral:rRNA from 1 species